CCUACGGGAGGCAGCAGUGAGGAAUAUUGGUCAAUGGGCGCUAGCCUGAACCAGCCAAGCAGCGUGAAGGAUGACUGCCCUAUGGGUUGUAAACUUCUUUUAUAUGGGAAUAAAGUGCAGUAUGUAUACUGCUUUGCAUGUACCUUAUGAAUAAGGAUCGGCUAACUCCGUGCCAGCAGCCGCGGUAAUACGGAGGAUCCGAGCGUUAUCCGGAUUUAUUGGGUUUAAAGGGUGCGUAGGCGGGUUGUUAAGUCAGUUGUGAAAGUUUGCGGCUCAACCGUGAAAUUGCAGUUGAUACUGGCAGCCUUGAGUGCAGUAGAGGUAGGCGGAAUUCGUGGUGUAGCGGUGAAAUGCUUAGAUAUCACGAAGAACUCCGAUUGCGAAGGCAGCCUGCUGGACUGUAACUGACGCUGAUGCUCGAAAGUGUGGGUAUCAAACAGGAUUAGAUACCCGUGUAGUC
rnacentral:rRNA from 1 species